rnacentral:rRNA from 1 species
CCAGACUCCUACGGGAGGCAGCAGUGGGGAAUAUUGCACAAUGGGGGAAACCCUGAUGCAGCGACGCCGCGUGAAGGAUGAAGUAUUUCGGUAUGUAAACUUCUAUCAGCAGGGAAGAAAAUGACGGUACCUGACUAAGAAGCCCCGGCUAACUACGUGCCAGCAGCCGCGGUAAUACGUAGGGGGCAAGCGUUAUCCGGAUUUACUGAGUGUAAAGGGGGCGCAGACGGCAGCGCAAGCCAGGAGUGAAAGCCCGGGGCCCAACCCCGGGACUGCUCUUGGAACUGCGCGGCUGGAGUGCAGGAGGGGCAGGCGGAAUUCCUGGUGUAGCGGUGAAAUGCGUAGAUAUCAGGAGGAACACCGGCGGCGAAGGCGGCCUGCUGGACCGUAACUGACGUUGAGGCUCGAAGGCGUGGGGAGCAAACAGGAUUAGAUACCCGAGUAA